rnacentral:rRNA from 1 species
CUUGCUAAAUGGACUCAUGGCGGACGGGUGAGUAACGCGUAAAGAACUUGCCCUUUAGACUGGGAUAACAGAGGGAAACUUCUGAUAAUACUGGAUAAGUUAGUAUAUCGCAUGAUAUGCAAAUGAAAGCUACGGCACUAAAGGAGAGCUUUGCGUCCUAUUAGCUAGUUGGUAAGGUAAGAGCUUACCAAGGCGAUGAUAGGUAGCCGGCCUGAGAGGGUGGACGGCCACAAGGGGACUGAGAUACGGCCCUUACUCCUACGGGAGGCAGCAGUGGGGAAUAUUGGACAAUGGAGGGAACUCUGAUCCAGCAAUUCUGUGUGUGUGAAGAAGGUUUUAGGACUGUAAAACACUUUUAGUAGGGAAGAAAAAAAUGACGGUACCUACAGAAGAAGCAACGGCUAAAUACGUGCCAGCAGCCGCGGUAAUACGUAUGUUGCGAGCGUUAUCCGGAAUUAUUGGGCUUAAAGGGCAUCUAGGCGGUAAGACAAGUUGAAGGUGAAAACCUGUGGCUCAACCAUAGGCUUGCCUACAAAACUGUUGAACUAGAGUACUGGAAAGGUGGGUGGAACUACACGAGUAGAGGUGAAAUUCGUAGAUAUGUGUAGGAAUGCCGAUGAUGAAGAUAACUCACUGGACAGAAACUGACGCUGAAGUGCGAAAGCUAGGGGAGCAAACAGGAUUAGAUACCCUGGUAGUCCUAGCUGUAAACGAUGAUCACUGGGUGUGGGGAUGCGAAGUCUCUGUGCCGAAGCAAAAGCGAUAAGUGAUCCGCCUGGGGAGUACGUUCGCAAGAAUGAAA